UUGGGCUAGUUGGGGGGUUAAGGGUCCCUUGGUAGCCGCAAUCCCUUCGAGCGGAACGAAAGGCAGCUUUAGGCUUUUGAACUGCUGAGAUUGGAAUUCAGUUUGAGCCGUAGACGCUUUGCCUUGCGUUACGUGUUUUGCUGUGAACCGAGCCAGGUCCGGAAGGAAGCAACUCUAAACAUCCAAAGGCGUGCUCGCAAGCCACAAGGCCGAGGCAAGAGUUGAAAAACCUACAGUACUUCAACUGUCAAACACUGCCAGCCCAA
rnacentral:SRP_RNA from 1 species